rnacentral:rRNA from 1 species
UACGUAGGGGGCAAGCGUUGUCCGGAAUCAUUGGGCGUAAAGAGCGUGUAGGCGGCUUGGUAAGUCCGCUGUGAAAGUCCAGGGCUCAACCCUGGAAUGCCGGUGGAAACUGUCAAGCUUGAGUCCGGAAGAGGCGAGUGGAAUUCCUGGUGUAGCGGUGAAAUGCGCAGAUAUCAGGAGGAACACCCGUGGCGAAAGCGGCUCUCUGGGACGGUACUGACGCUGAGACGGCGAAAGCGUGGGGAGCAAACAGA